rnacentral:misc_RNA from 1 species
GAUGAAGAACGUAGCGAAAUGCGAUACUUGGUGUGAAUUGCAGAAUCCCGUGAACCAUCGAGUCUUUGAACGCAAGUUGCGCCUCAAGCCAUUAGGUUGAGGGCACGUCUGCCUGGGCGUCACAUAUCGUUGCCUGAUGCCAGUUUCCUCGUGAUGGGUGACUGUGCAGGGCGAAUGAUGGCUUCCCGUGAGCAUUGUUGCCUCAUGGUUGGUUGAAAUUUGAGUCCUUGGUAGGGAGCGCCGUGAUAGAUGGUGGUUGAGUGACGAACGAGACCCAAUCAUGUGAGACCCCUACCGAAUUUGGCCUUCAUGACCCACAUGCGUCUUUGGAACGCUCAUGACGAGACCUCAGGUCAGGCGGGGCUACCCGCUGAGUUUAAGCAUAUCAAUAAGCGGAGGA